rnacentral:lncRNA from 1 species
CUGGAGUGUCUACUUCCUCUCUUAAACUGUGAGCUCCACCAGGGCCACCACUGUGUCUUAAUCACCUAUUCCUCCCACUAAGUGGGUACCAGAUACUCAGCAGGUACUCAAUAAACGUCCGAUGAGUACCAAAUGAAGAGAUGUGGUAAUGUAUAUUAAUUAUGGCUCUUAAGGUAGGUUUCUAGGGUGGGUUUUUGCAGUCUUCCAGCAGGAGAAGAAGACUUUGACGAGGACAGGUUCACAGGUAUGUUUAUCAAGCACAGCGAUCCAGGGAUUAGAAGACACCUGACUAGGGAGGGAAAUCUCCUUAGCAGUUCUAGGCGCGGCACGGAGAGAGGUGUGGAAGGGGGCAUGAAACAACACCUCCUUCGCUUUCAGUGUCCCAGCAAAGGAACCAGAAAUCCAAUCACAGGAAUGACCGAGGGGGCGAGAAGUCCAACCAGGGAGAGGGAAUAUUUAAGGGCAUUGUCCUUAAAUAUUAUGGGCCCAAUAUUUAAGGGCUGUUUUCAGAUGUUGAAUGGCAAUUGUGUAAGUGAGAGGGUGGAUUUGUUCUGGGUUUCUCCAUCUUGCAGAACAAGGACCAAUGGUGAUGAAGAUGCGGGUAUAACGUAAGGAAGAACCGUUGAAAAACUCCUCUGUCUUGGAGCGCAGUCCGCUGCCUCUAAAGCACGCCAUCCUGCCCCUGGCCGGGGGGCCCUGCCGAUGUCAGAGGCUGGAGAGGACACCUCACUCACAGAGCCCAUUAGACCAGACAUGCUUUUGCCCCUUCUAGCUUUGGGACUUCUGGCUUGACAAUUUAGGAGAAGACAAAUACUGAGCAAAGAUAACCAACGCCCUGAAGAAGCCCCCCGUUGCUGUCACACUGGAGCCCAGCUGAAGACAUUCCGUCUGUAAGUACCAGGCAGGCUCUAGGGUGCUGGAUGGAGCAGAAUGGAGCAGCCAGUUUACAGAGGAGACGAGCAAAGCAGUCAACAAACCAAAACCGAAAGGAACGCCUCCAGGGAACAAGAACAGAAAGCAGAGAAUCCAAAUCAGUCACGGGUUCUCCUUGUUGGCAAAUCUGGAAAGGUGAGCUGAGAUGCAGGAAUUGACCCACGGGAGUUCAGUGAUGUGAUGGAGGGAGUGAAUAUGCAGCAAAAUGAAAACUUCUAAAACCCACGAACUCAUGAAUGCAACACAUCAAAAAAAGUCCUCUUUCUCUCUUGAGGCAGAUUUUAUAAGGCAGACUUUCUGGGGGAGUCCCAAUUAUAGGUACUUUCAUUCUUUUCCAAAAGGCUAUUUAAAAUGUGUAAGUAUAUAGAUUUAUUUGUAUUCCUUUAUUAAGGCUUACAAAAAAUAAAUUCCUAAGUCAAAAGUGACUUCUUUUCUUUAAAGCGUGUUUUCGAUUUCUUUGUCAGGCUGUAGUUUUGGUUUGUAAAACACAGUCACCAUAGCCACAUUCUUCUCAAAAAGGGUAGGUGGUUGUGGCUUUGGA